CCUCCUGUUUAGAGACCUCCCCUUCCAUGUUCUUUCUCUGCAAAGUGAUGUACUUCAUUUUACAGAGAAAAUCAUAACUGUUUAUAUUUAUAAAGUAAUAUACAUUUUGUGAGAUGUGGGUAUGCCUUCUGUAAAAACUUUGAGAAUCUUCGUUUGCACUUUCACAGUGUCAGGCAAAAAUUAUAUUACCUCGUAAAAAGUGGCGUGAAGACCAGAUGAAAUUAAGUCGGGAACUAGAAGGUCCCCCAUCUCUGACUGCAGGCCUAAGUCUAGAGUCAUGAGAGUCUUAGGAGGCAUAAAAGUUAAGGACUGAGAGCCUGGGCUCUGGGUGGACUAUCUGGGUUUGAUUCCUACCUCGACCAACAAGGCAACCUCCAGCAGGUACUUACCAUGCACAGCCUCAGUUUCCCCACUUGUAAAAUGGGAAUAAUCAUAGUACCUACCUCUCACUGUAAGAAGUAAAUAAAUUAACACAUGUACAACACAUGAAACAAUGCCUGACAUAUACUAAGUGCUCAGUUUUAUUACUAUUAUAUAGAUAAGCAACUGUCUUACUAUGCAUGGCAACUAUCUUUCUACAGAAGAAGUUAUUUCCAUCGAAGAAAUCCAUGAGUGUGGGGACUCACUGUGGUCAGCCCUUCUCCUCAUGGCCUCCUGGUGUUCCACAACUACCACCAUCUUCUAGUCAGUGGCUGCUCGAAGAUGCAGGUUGGAUGAAGCAGGUGGCCUUUGCAACAAACUGUCCAAGCCUUUUCACACUUGGGACUGGGACAUGGUUCCCUAAAAAUGGCAAACUUGGCUUGCAGGUGGGCUGUCAAACAGCAUAGCUGCCUCCUUCACCAACUAGCAUCAGCCAGCACACAGGGGUGAGCAACCACUUUGCUGUAAACAUGAGUCACACAUGGGCCUCAGCCCCAGUGGAGUAUAGGGCAAACAGCAUUGGAUGGGGCGCUGGGAGAACUGGCUUGCAACUGUGGCUCUGUGUGACCCAGCAAAGGUCACUCAACCUCUCUGUGCCUAAGUUUCCUCACCCACAGGAUCAGGCACAUCACCCAGAUUCAACAUACUGAAGUUCAAGGAAUCUAGGCACAUGUCAGCUUUCCCUUCAACACCAUAUAAUUAGUGUAGGGGUAAGAGAAGACACUCAUAGGACAGUGAGGCUUCUGAAAACACAGCCCAUCAUCCAAAACUGACUGCAGUGCUGGUGGUGACCUGCUUGGGCUUCCAUUCCCAUGUCUAGGCAGAGCCCAUAACAACGUUAUCACUUUUUAAAACAUACAUCUAAACUAGUUCCUAUUGCAGACAAUUGGCAGGUGCCCAAUUAAUAGAUUAUUCCACCAGACAGUUGAAUGCAUUGGCCAUUGGUCAAAAAUGAGGUCACCACAAUCCUAUGUGCUAUAACUGGAAAAGCCUAAUGAAAAACAAUUGUCUAUUUUUUAACAAAUAGGAAUCCAUAUUCCCAUCUCCUUUAAUUUGCCUUGCUUGGUGUGUGGUUCAGGAGCAAAGGAAGAUUUUGUUCAAGGUCAAGUUGGCUUUGCUCUUUGACUCCUUUGUUGUGCGUUUGACUGUCCAUGCAUGUUUCACAUCAGCAAAUCCCCAGCCGGAUUCCAGCUGACCUACAGGAAUUUCUAGCCAACAUUGCCAGAUCCCUGGUCUUUCUCUCAAACCUGCACAGUCGGAAAGAACGGGUCAGGAGACUCCUGUCCCAGCCAUCUGGACACACAUGCUCAGUGGAUAUGCAUAAUAUGAAGCACAUGUGCUUUCUCAAAAAAAUUUUUUUUUUCCUAAGGGAUACAGAGCUGUUAUUAACAGAGCCUGUGGCAUCCUUCCAGCACACAGACAUUCCCAGACAAAACCAUCCGGGCUGACCUGCUGCAGGUGAUGCUCAGACAUCCAGGGAGAAAUGGAACGGCAGUUGGUGACAUGGGAGCUCCAUCCAAGAAAGCUGAAGAAGCAGACGACAGCAGCAGUGGUGCUGGCAGGAUCCCUCUGAAGAAGACAGCACAGAGAAAAGCAGCGCUGACAACUGACCCGUGGUCCCCUGCCUGUGUCCAGGACAAGAAGACUCAGAAAAGAGUCAAGGCAGCAUUGUGUUGAAGAAGAAAUGGGAAGAGACUGAUUCCAGUCAGCACAGGUGGUUGCCAUAGUCUGAAGGUUUGUGUACCCUCCCCUCCAAAUUCAUAUGUUGAAGCCUAAUCCUCAGUGCGAUGGUAUGUGGAGGUGGGCCUUUGGGAUGUGAUUAGGUCAUUAGGGUGGAGUCUUCUUGAAUGGGAUCAGUGCCCUUAUAAAGGAGGCCUCAGAAAGUUUCCUUGCCCUCUGGUCACAUGAGGACACAGUGAGAGGACAGCCUUCUACAAACUAGGAAGCAGGCCCUUGCAAGACAUUACGCCUGCCAGUGCCUUGAUUUUGGAUUUCCAGUCUUCAGAACUGUGAAAAAUAAACGUCCAUUGUUUAUAAGCCA